AAACUUAGACUAAUACAUACUCAAAUUAACACCCUACAUGUUUCUCACGUUCAAUAUUUGGUACAAGCCAAAUAGGUAAACUACAAUCUAAAAACGCACGAGAAAAACCGCAUGACAAAGGAAUAAGCCAAAUAAGUUGACUACAAUCUAAAAAACGCACGAGAAGAGUAUCGAUUAUCCCGUGUCUAAAUUUAAUUCCGGUUUUUCGCUAUCAAAACAAUUCAAGAGGAGUUAUUAUUCU
rnacentral:sRNA from 1 species